UGAAACGCGAUAGCUGAUGCGAAUUGCAUAUAUCUGUGAGUCAUCGAGUCUUUGAACGCAACUUGCACUUGGCGCAGGCCGAGUAUACGUGUAAGAGAGCGGGGCUGGAAAUGGCAGAUGGAAGAUAUUUGUCGAAUGAAGGGAGAGAUUCUCUUUGAAAAGCAACCCGGGUAGGGGAUCGAGGAGAUAAGAGGGGCGUGUGUGUGUAAAUGUAAAUGUUUACUCACUCACACCAAACUCAGUUCUCGAUUCUUCUCGGAUUCAAAGUAGCAACUAAGCUACUUAAACACCUUCCGCCUCUUAUCACGUAAGACUACCCGCUGAACUUAA
rnacentral:misc_RNA from 1 species